AUUGAACGCUAGCGGGAUGCUUUACACAUGCAAGUCGAACGGCAGCGCGGACUUCGGUCUGGCGGCGAGUGGCGAACGGGUGAGUAAUGUAUCGGAACGUGCCCAGUAGCGGGGGAUAACUACGCGAAAGCGUAGCUAAUACCGCAUACGCCCUACGGGGGAAAGCAGGGGAUCGUAAGACCUUGCACUAUUGGAGCGGCCGAUAUCGGAUUAGCUAGUUGGUGAGGUAACGGCUCACCAAGGCGACGAUCCGUAGCUGGUUUGAGAGGACGACCAGCCACACUGGGACUGAGACACGGCCCAGACUCCUACGGGAGGCAGCAGUGGGGAAUUUUGGACAAUGGGGGCAACCCUGAUCCAGCCAUCCCGCGUGUGCGAUGAAGGCCUUCGGGUUGUAGAGCACUUUUGGCAGGAAAGAAACGUCGCGGGCUAAUACCCCGUGGAACUGACGGUACCUGCAGAAUAAGCACCGGCUAACUACGUG
rnacentral:rRNA from 1 species